CAUUUCGACAAUCAUAACAAGUGAUUUGCAUUGACACCUUCUUGUUUCAUAUAAAACAGUUUCUCUUCAAUUUCAUAUGGGACUAUGCUUUUUUCGAAAGCCUUAUUUAGAAAAUGAGCUCCAAGACCAGGAAGAAGCAACGUACGCAUGUCAUGCUUGUCGACUUGAUUUGCUGGCUUGAACUCAUAAAGAUAACCGUUCUCGUGAUCUUUCUGAAAAUUUCGCUUGGGCUAUGGCUGUCACAUACUUAAAUUGUGGAUGAAAAGUUUCUUCUGUUUACUGGAUCAAGCAACUCCAAAAGAAAGCCUGCUAUGAUUGACAUUGAAAGUAAAACACACUCUGCACUUCACAACAAGCCCAGCAACACAACGCAGGCACACGAAAGGCAUGACAGCAUAAUAUUCAUCGACAAACCAACACUAAAAUAUGUACAGAUUGCUAGAAAAAGUAUUUUAUUGUCGCCACAAAGCGCUACCCAAUACCCUUGCAAAGGGUAUUAUUUUUCUCUGUGUGGGAGUCAUUGCUUGCUUGAUUUAUUUCACGACGGUAAAGCGUCUACCCAGUGGGUUCCAGAGUUUGAGGCUACUUGGUCGAGAUCGUGGGCCAGAGCUACAUUGUUCGAACGUGCUGGACACGAUGCUGAAAGGACAUUGGAAGCAGCUUCCGUACGCCGAAGAGGACAUGAACGACGUGCAGUUUUUUCUACACACAACCAGAUCUCAGCACUUUUUGCCGUAUGAGCUGCAGCGUUCUGACAAACGAUGUGGAAAUGUGUCGUUCGAUGAACUGGAAGGUCGGAUGCACAAUCUUCACUGGUUCCGGGCGCUGUGCGAUCCCGACGGCGACACUCCUUGUUGCUAUGACAACCAAUGUGUGUAUAAAGAACAAGAAAAGUGUCGGUGUGAAACUUGCUAUGAUAUGAGGCAGCCGGUCAAUGCUGA